CAGGCUCGACUGAGCAGCUAUAAGGGGGAGGGAGCCUGCGGGAAGGGGGAGGGAGCUGCCGAGCUGCCUGGAGAGGAGGAUCGUGGUUCGCUCCAGCCGCCCCGCUCCGUCUACACUGGGGACGCUCAGAGGGUUGCUGCGCUGGGGCUGGUCCAUGUGAAUCCACCCUUUGCCUCUACCAGAAUCUCAUCCUCUGAAGCCAUCACCAGUGUGUGGAGCCUGCCCCACACCCAUCACCUACCAAACCACGGCCUUUACCUGUGUCUUCCGCUGUUUCCCGUGCGACCCUUCUUGUGGGAGCGCCUCCUGGGCUACCCCAGAGUUUACGCAGCAUUCAGUGGCUCCAAUGGUGAAGAUGACGAGGUCCAAGACUUUCCAGGCAUAUCUGCCUUCAUGCCACAGAACCUAUAGCUGCAUUCACUGCAGGGCUCAUCUUGCCAAUCACGAUGAACUCAUUUCCAAGUCCUUUCAAGGAAGCCAAGGGCGAGCAUACCUCUUCAAUUCAGUAGUUAAUGUGGGUUGCGGCCCCGCAGAGGAGCGGGUGUUACUAACAGGAUUACACGCAGUUGCAGACAUUUAUUGUGAAAACUGCAAAACCACACUGGGCUGGAAAUAUGAACACGCUUUUGAGAGCAGCCAGAAGUAUAAAGAAGGCAAAUACAUCAUCGAACUAGCUCACAUGAUCAAGGAUAAUGGCUGGGAUUGAAUGGGAAGAGCCCAGCCAAACCAGCGUGUAAGAGAAUGCCAUCCGACAGAACAUUAUAUCCAAGAGUGAGAGAGUGACCGAACGCUUGGUUCCAUGCAUUUAGAGGCUCUGCCAUUUGGGAACAUCUUCACACCCUUCUCCAUCUUUAUUGGUGACUGGCCUCUAAAUUUCUGUCUCUCCGUCUCUUUGCUUUUUAUCUGUUUGUGAAUUGACCCUGGCUGCUUCUCUCUAUGUUCUGGCGUUGGCUAAGAGAAUGCACCAAAUGCCUGACAGCAUUCCAUGUUUAUGAAUGUCAAAGUACAAACUGAAGUUGGCUCUUCGUUGGCCUUUUAUCAGAGGGUCUCAGUGUGGGAGGGAGACCAGAGUUUUGGGCAGGAGGAGAGAAGAAGGGGACGGGGUAGGAGGGGAAGUAAGCAGGAACGAAACUGCUUUUCCUUUAAGUCCUGGUAACCAAGGCUUGAAACGAUGGACAGAAAUAUACCUCAUGACUGCGUUCUCUCUGAAUCUCGAACCUGCUGUUCCAGAAGCCGAGCUUCAGAUUAAGCUGGCUGAGCACAAGUUGUAACCAAAAGCCCCUUGCUAGCUAAUUCCUGAAACUGAUGUGCAAUUCCAUCUUUUGAUAGGUUGUUUCAUACUAUUCACACAGUCGCCUUUUGUGAACUUCUUGUUGUCGAGCUUGAUGGCUAUAGAGAUUCCCCAAGCUCUCUCCUUCUGCUUCUCCCUCCUCCUGUUUCAUAGCGGAUGGGCAAACCGUCCCAUCAGAGCAUGGCUACGACCUCAGCACUGCUGGGGAAACAAAAUUCUGAUCCUGGGCAACUGAGAGAGGAGGAGUCAAAUCAUGUAAUGUAGUGGGGCUGAUGCUGCAGUUUAGGAGAUAUGACAGACAUGCAAGAACACGGGCAUGUGCUAGGAAAAUAUGUAGGGGGAGAAGGCUGUAGGCAAACUCAGAAACAUAUGAUGCCAUAUUAAUUUUCCAAUCCUUACUGUGUGCCGUUAGGGCGAAUCUGUUUCCCAUUGGCAAUGUUAUAGCUUGGGAUCCAGUCAUCCUAAUAUGUAAUGGGAAAAUGGCUUUAAUAGGAUCUUUAAAACUUCAGACUCCAGCCAUCAUCUCCACUCUUUGAAUCCAGCAGAGAUGUGAUGGAACAGUUAGUGUCUCUGGUGGCUGUUAAUAUCAUGUUUCAUAGGUGGCUAUUUCAAGCCCUGAUGUAUCCCUCCCAACCUCGACUCCUGGUAUUUUAAAAAACCUGUUUCAUACUCUGGAAGACUGAAACUUAGCAUCCCCCAAAUGGGGUAGCCUCGGAGUUGUAGGGGGAGAAGAGGUUUCAACAUCUAACUGCAGCGGACAAGUCCUACUUUAAUUUUUGUAAAUUAAUUUUUAUGGGCCAUCUUUGUUGUUGGUGUUGGAGAAAGGGAGAAUGUGUAUAAAAGAAGAUAGUGUACACAUAAAUGACAGUGCAAAGCUUCCUCUACAACAGUCCAGUCAGUAUCUGGUGCAGAACACAAGACUAUUUAACUGAAUUAGUAUUAUCCAUCGAGUGAAUUCUUCUUGUUUGUGGAAUUCUUUCGAAGUAGGUUAAUUCUCUGGGGGAAAUCCCUCUCAAUCCAGGGAGUGAAAAAUAAUGUGCAGGGAUUCAUAGCUCCUUAUGAAAUUGAACCUUCUGAUGAUUAGACCCUAAUGCCGCCUUUUUUUCCAAUAUUCAGGUUAGCAGAGUUGAGAGGAUUUCAAAAUCACAUUUGCUGAUGAGUGUGGUGUCCAUGGCAUCACUGGUAAUAUUUGGUUAUUACCCAGAAGUAGGUGACAAGAUGGAGACUGAGUGUUACUUCUGGAAGGGAUGUACUGAAUGCCUUCUUUGGCCAUUGUGUUAGGAGGUGGCUUCUGCCUUCACCCUAUCGGAGGUGAAUAACAAGACCACUUCAUCUUUGACUUCUGCUAGACUCUACUUCCAUCAUCCUCAUUCCCCUCCAUCACCGCUACCUUCAACAAAAAGAAUCCCUCAGUACCCAUUAGCUUGUUGACUCUGGCAUUGGCCUUCUCUUCAUUGCCCUUUCCACUCAACAUUUUGUUGGUUUUGGCCAGUAAGGAGCUAUUUGCUUUCUUUGGAAAGCUCUUCUCUUUCCCUGAAAACAGUCUCUAAAGGGAUCUGAUCUGAAAUGGGAGAAAUAAGGGAUAACCCACAACAGCUUUUGUGCAGAUGGGAUACAGAGCCAUACCUAGACUCUGCUAAUCUUCCCUGAAUAAGUAUAAUUUUAUGCACUACAGUGAUCGCGAAUAAAAAGCCAACAUGCCUAUAAUAAUCCCCCAGUAUUCAGUCUCAAAUACUGCAGAGUUACCCCUGUAAAUUGUAUUUUUUUGCACCAUUAGUGUAGGAUAUGCUGUACCUCUUAAAAAUAAGGGCACAGAAUUGUGUCAGAUGCAACAAUUUUUAUUCUUUGUGUACUAAGAACAAGAAAUAAUAUCUCAGACGGCAAUACGCGGUAACAAUUUACAUAAAUUGCAUUUUUUAUGGCGACCACUGUAAAUUUGAAUAUUUGUGGCCAGAUCCUCAGUUAAUGUAAAUUGGCUUAGUUUCCUUGACUUCCAUGGUGCUACACCGGUUUCAAUCAGUUGAGGCCUGGGCCCAGAUCCUCAAAUCCUGGUAUGGAAAAUGUGCGAAUGCACGCACAUGUGCACACGCAGGCACACACUUGACUGUAGGUUGAUUUUUAUACACUGUAUAAAGAGAUAAGUAAAAAUGGCCUGCUAGAUUUAUUUAAUAUUUGUUCUCCCUCAUGUGUCAGCUAAACCUAAAGUGCUUCUUAUGAUGUAAGGUCCACUGUUAACUCAUCUGUGACCUGCUGUAUUAAGACAUAUGAUAGUAUUGGGAGUUGAAAACAAAACAGAGUGAUGAAAUUUAUAGGCUAUAACAAUCAGGGCAUUCUCAGUUGAUUAGUUGCAAAACAAUAUAUUCAGAACAUAGCCAAAGAAUCACACCACUUGCAUCUCAUUGGUCGAGUCAGUUAAUAGUAGUCAGUUAGUUACAUCAAAGGUAGGCAAGGCAUGCCCUUCAUUUCCAAGAUGGAGCUGCAGUACAGAGAGCGAGCAUGUCCCGCAUUCAAUGUCCAGAUCACAGUGGAGCACUGCAUACUGGGAUUUGUAGUCUCCAUGGGUGGCAGCCUCAGCGAAGAUGAAAACUGCAAGUUUUGCUCCAUUUUCUGCCCCCCUCCUUAGUUUCUAGCAAGCUGCCACCAAGGCCCUUGGGCAAUGCAAAUUCUGGGCACCCCUGAGUUUACAUCAGAGCCAGUGUAUCCCAAAGCUAAACUUUUUGGUAGGUUUUAAAUGUUUUGCUCAGGCUGAUUAUCUUGUGUAGAAUCGUGACCCUGUAAUAAAUAUUCAGAUGAUAAUAUAUACAGAACAUAAGCAUUAUCUUGUGAAAUAUACUUUUGUAAAUAAUAUUUUAAUUUUUUAAAAAAUAAUAUAUUUGGUGCUGUUUUCUCAGAACCCACCCCUGAGAGCACUUUUUUGGGUUUUGUUUUUAAAUUAUACUGUUUCCUCUGUCUUAGUUGGAAAAUAUGCUUAAAGGGAAAGAACAAUCAUAAAUAUAUGCGGUUUUCUUAAGAUGCUACACUUUUCACCUGGACAAGGCAGAAAAAGGGCGAAUAACCUCUAGUUCCAUCCAGCAGAAAUUACCUCCUACACAGGCCAUUGCCAGGUUACAAACAGAGGCCCCCCAUUCAGGAAGGUACUGAAGCAUGUGUGUAACUUUAAGCACAUCUGAAUGCAUGUGUGUUUAAAGGUAUGCACAUGCUUCAGUGCCUGAGGUCCCUGACUUGCAAUUGGAUCCACGUGGGAAGACCUUAAUUCCUACAUGGAGUCUCUUUAAUGUCAGUGGGGCUCCGUGUAAGUGCGUAGAUCUGCCUAAGUAGAUCUGAUUGCAGGAUCUGGGCCUGAAAUAUUCUCUUGCACCAGUAUUGGCUAGAAUAAAAUAAAUAAUGAAGAUUUAGAAUGUGGAAGUGAAUUUAAGUUGCAACCUCAGAAUCUUUAUUUCCCAUUGCUUGGGGCAAUGGGGGCAGGGGACGGAGAAUUCUAACUAAUCAGGAAUUCUAAUUUGCUUUGCAAAUAUUUUUGGAUGUGGAUCCUGGUUUUAAUUUUGUUUUUAGUAUAAAUAAACCAGGCUGCUACAUAGUGAAUUAAAGUACAAGUUUACAUCUCUGGCAGUAAAGUUCUUUCCCCUCUCCUCUUUGUCUUUUUUUCCCUCCCCUCUCCCCCUUAAUUUUUAUUUCAUUGGUCUUCUUGUUUAUCUCAAAGUGGACCAACAGCACAAAUCAUUAGACUGUGUUUUGUUGAGUAAGGAGCUAUUUGCAGUGCUGAGUAACUGUUGCACACACUUUUAUUUUCUCUUUUUGGUGCACACAUUUUAAAGGCAACAAAACCUGCACAUGGAAUCUGUGGUUCUUGUGAGGAUCAGCUAAGAAUUUUCUCUGUAUGCGUUUUCCUAAUUGAUAUGUGAGUGUAUUAAUCAUGCAUUUCGUUUCUAUAUGAACCAGUUCUUGGACAAGCAUCCUGUUGGGUAAACAGAUUUGAAAUGCAGAGCUCAGCUAAGUAGUAAGAGCUUUCCUUGCCAGAUGAGAGGCCUGAGAAAUGGAACGUUCAGAAACAAAAAUGUUAUGCAUUGAUUUGGAAGAAUCCUGUUUUGAAAGAACAAACAGGAAGGGAAAAUAAAAUCACACUUAAUAUAAAAACAAAAAAA